rnacentral:lncRNA from 1 species
ACAUACACGCAAACACGCACGCGCGCAUGGGCUCGGACACACAAAGAACCCGGGCUCGCCGAGCGCGCGCGCACACCCUCAUGCCGCGCGGCGAACGUUCGUUGCCAGGUGCGGCAGCCCGCCCUGGGCGCCUCCUGCCUGCGGAAGAAGAGCAGGACAGACCCGACCCGACCCGCCUAGUCCUUUCCUUCACAGCAGCCUCCAAACUCCACCGCUCGCCUCUUCCGCCAGGCUCCUAGGAUGAGGCCCAGGGCUCCUGGAGCAGCCAGGUGCAAACCAGACCGGGCUCGCACUCCACUGCGUUGCCCUGGGCGAUCGUCCACGUUCUGGGAGACUCGGUAUGCCCCGGGAGGGUGGCCUGAGCUUGUGGUGUGAAGCCAGGUACAGAGCUCCAGAAUCCUGGCCUUGCCAUGGCUGUGUGACCCUGGGCAAGUGACUCAAUUUCUCUGCCUCAGUGUCCUCAUCUAUAAAAUGGAAAGGAAAAUAGUAGCGCUUGUCUCCUCCGGCUGUUAUGAAGAUCCAAGGUUAACAGCGUAGAGAACUCGGAACGCACCCGGCAUCUAGGAAGUGCCAAGCCAGUGUCAGCUAAUGUGACUAUUUUUAAAUGGAGAUGGGGAGUGUGCCAUUAUUCUUGUCCUUAUUUGAAUGAACGGGCCCUCAGGGACCAUUUUCCACUGCCCCGCCCUGGCAGCAUGAGAGGGAAACGCUGUGAGAACCCCGAACCCCAGCCUUCUCCUGUCCCUCUCUCUCUCUCUCUCUCUCUGCACCUGGGAGGCGGGGAGGAGAGAGCCGAUCCUUCCACCAUUUACACGGAGAAUGAAAGAAGAAAUACCGGCCAGGCGCGGUGGCUCAUGCCUGUAAUCCCAGCACUUUGGGAGGCCGAGGGGGCAGAUCACCUGAGGUCAGGAGUUCGAGACCAGCCUGGCCAACAUGGCGAAACUCCGUCUCUACUAAAAGUACAAAAAUUAGCCUGGCGUGGUGCCGGGUGCCUAUAAUCCCAGCUACUCAGGAGGCUGAGGCAGGAGAAUCCCUUGAACCCGGGAGGCGGAGGUUGCAGUGAGCCGAGAUCACGCCACUGCACUCCAGCCUGGGUGACAAGAAUGAGUCUCAAAAAAACAAAAAAGAAGAAGAAGAAGAAAUACCACACAGGUCCGACCAAGAGCUGCCCCCACUCAGGCCAGGAUCCCUGCCUGGAAGGGCUCUGCAGCCACUCUCCCUGUACAGCCCCAGGAUGCUAAGGAGCAUCCCGAAGUGACACUGGCUCUCCCUGGAGGCCCCUGCCAUCGGACUCCAACCUGACCUUCCAGUGGGUGCUCCUCAUACUGGCUCCAGCCAAGACAGACGAGGACCACUGGGCACAUGCCCUUCCUUGCCUUCCUGUCACCCUUCCCACCCUUCUCUGCGGGCCCCGGGUGGCCCCUUCCUCCAGGAAGCACCUGGGGAUCAGCAGUGCCUCUAGGGUCCCAGUGGCCCACGUGACAUCUGCUUCUGGCCACCUGAGCACUCUCCUUUGAGUUCAGGGUCACUGUACCCUUUUAUAGGUGAGCAAACGAAAGCUGAGGAAGAGGAGUGACUGGGUCUCCCACAUCCCUCUGCUUCAGCUAUGAGGUUCCCUCAUGAACUGCAGGAAUAGACGUCAAGCAAAAACUCCUCAGACGCCCUGUGCAUGUGUGGUCGCACAGGGCACAAAGACUGAAGCAAAGGGGCAGGUCCUAGCGUGGGGAGGGGACUCCAGGAUUGAAGUUUGAACCAAAAGGAGGCUUUGACUAAGCCACGAGCAGUGAAGCCGGCAGGAGAGGAAGCAAGUUCUAGCAGAGGUAGGCCAGCGGAGCCUCAUGCAGGUAGUGCCAGCGCAAGACACACGAGUGAACCAUCUAUCCAGUUACCAGCUCCAUGAGGGAUGGGAUCUGUUCUUUUGCCUCCAUCAACUCCUGGAGUCUAUCAUAGGCCUGACACACAGUAGGUACUCAAUAAGUGUUUGCUGCAUUUAUUUUAACGUACUUUUCUUUUUUUUCUUUUAAAACGGAGUUUCGCUCUUGUUGCCCAGGCUGGAGUCCAAUGGCGCAAUCUCAGCUCACUGUAACCUCCGCUUCCUGGGUUCAAGUGAUUCUCCUGCCUCAGCCCCGCUAGUAGCUGGCAUUACAGGCAUGCGCCACCACGCCUGGCUAAUUUUGUGUUUUUAGUAGAGAUGGGGUUUCUCCAUGUUGAUCAGGCUGGUCUCAAACUCCCAACCUCAGGUGAUCUGCCUGCCUCGGCCUCCCAAAGUGCUGAGAUUACAGGCGUGAGCCACCGUGCCUGGCUUUAACUUACUUUUCUUUGGCACUUAACUAUGUACCCUGCACAGUUAAAUGCAUUUUAAUAAGUUAACCCUUUUCAUCCCGACAACACCCCUAUGAGAUUGGUACAAUUAUUUCUUCCGUUUUAUAGAAGGUAAAACCGAGCCACAGAGAAGUUAAGUAACUUCCCCAAGGUCACUCAGCUGGCAGAUAGUAGAGCUGGAAUUCAAACCUAGGCCACCUGGCUCCAGAGGUUACAAUCUUGAAUGAGGGGAUUCUGGGUGGGCGAUUGCCAGACAAAAAAACCCAGCCCCAAGGAGAGAAAGGAGGAGAAGGAGGCAAGAAGAGCCCCAACCUCAGCCCCAGGGAGAGGUGGCAGAUGAGGUGGAAAAGGGAUGGUCAGACCGGAGAAGGGGCCAGGAGGAGCCAAUGCCAAAGCUAGAGGCAUGCACAGGGUGGAGAGAGCUCAGUGCGGGAGGCCACAGACCCUAGCUCCACCUCAGCCCUGUGGCUUCCCAGUUGUGUGACUUGGGCCUGCAGGCCUGCUCUCUGAGCCUCAGUUUCCUCAUUGUAAUAUGAGAUAAAAUACACCCUGCCUCAAUGAGCCAUUCUGAGGAGAGGAGAAGUCUCGAACUGGAGGCCUUAAACCGAAUCCAGCUCCCAGAUGUGCUUCUUUGGCUGUCACUGAGCUUUAAUGUGUUUGGAGUUAAUUUUUAUGAAUAAAAGCUUGGAAGAUUUCACAUUUAAAAAAUCUGGCCAGGCUGGGCAACAAAGUAAAAUUCCAUCUCUAUGAAAAUUUUUUUUAGAAAUUCGCCGGGUAUGGUGGUGCAUGCCUAUGGUCCCAGCUACUCAGGAGGCUGAGGCAGGAGGAUCACUUGAGCCCGGGAGGUGAAGGCUGCGGUAAGCUAUGACUACACCACUGCACUCCAGCCUAGGUGCGAGAGCAAGACCCUGUCUCCAAACAACAACAACAACAACAAAAUCUGAAUGCCUGGUUUAUCUUGAAAUAUGGCAAAAUGGGGCCACCCAGGCCCAUUAACCCCCUGUCUACAAUGUCCUGGAGCUGAGGGGCAUUAGCCACCCUCUCACAUGGGCUCCCCAGGGUGCCACAGCUCCCUCCUAGCUAGUUUGCUCUUUUCUGUCACCUACCGGCCCUUGCAGGGAGCUGAAUUUGAGACCCAUGAUGCACUUUGUGCACCCUGCCCCCUCAAAGAUAACUGUGAGUACCAAGGGAAAUGGAAAGCUUUGGCAACAAGAAGGGAGCUUCAAGGAAAGCCAGGCCGAGGUUCCCCUCAGAACCAUAGACUAGCCUGAAAUUCCACUGGGACUAAUUCUUCUCAUUUCAAGAAUGAAAAUCGAUUGCUGGACAGAGCUCCCGGAGGGCCAAUUUUCAGGCUGUAGUCUACAGCCGUCCACGUAGAGGCAGUGAACGAAAUUUUUCAAAGCCUACUUUAUGAUUACUUUCUUUAGCAGCUCUCAACAGUAAAAUAAAAUUGAUCUAGGACUUUGAACAAAACUUCUCGCCCCUUUCUAGGGAAGAGUUUGUCUCGUCUAUCAGGCCACCAACAAGAGUUGUUGCAAUGCCUGUGGGAGGUGCAGCCCACGCUGGGCCACCUGGCCAGCUCAGGGAUCCUGCUGGAGAUCGAGGAUUGUCUGGUCGGCCUCUUACAACUCUCAGAACAUCAUCCCUGGGAGCAGCCCUGAAGAGACCAAGGAAUGGAAAAACAGAUGGAAGGACUGCAACUCACAGGUGAAAAGGAACCGGCUACGAGAGGCUCCAAACCAAGGGAGCAGCGGAGUUUGUCUCCAAAACACCGAGCCCAGUGAGAGAAGCCAGAGCCACAGACCAGAUGCCCUGCAGUGGGUCCCUUUACAUGGCCUUCAAAGUCAGGCAGAGUGAAUUGAGGGCCAUGGGAAUAGGAGCAGUGGUUGCCUCCAGAGAGACCUUCCCAGACCACCAUGUCUCAGACAGCCCCGGCUGCCUCCUGCCUGCCCUGCACCAGCCCUGAGCCAUCGCCUCAUUUUAUUCUCAUUCUAACUUGGAUAAUGGGAUCUGCCUCUUACCAACUGUGACCUUAGGCACAGGAUCAGCCCCAAAUUGAGCCUCAUUUUGUCCAUCUGUAAAAUGAGGAUGGCACUAGAGCCCCGUCUAGGGUGAAUGUGAAGGUCAGAGCCUGCACAAGUUGCUCAAUCAAGAAGAAGCUGCCAGGCACAGUGGCUUGUGCCUGUAACCCCAGAACUUUGAGAGGCUGAGCGGGGUGGAUCACCCAAAGUCAGGAGUUCAAGACCAGCCUGGCCAACAUGGUGAAAUGCCGUCUCUACUAAAAAUACAAAAAUUCGCUGGGUGUGGUGGUGGGUGCUUGUAAUCCUAGCUACUCAGGAGGCUGAGACAGGAGAAUCCCUUGAACCCAGAGGCAGAGGUUACAGUGAGCCGAGAUCGUGCCACUGCCCUCCAGCCUGGGCAACAAAGAGUGAAACUCUUGUCUAAAAAAAAAAAGAAGAAGAAGAAGGAGAAGGAGAAGGAGCGGGAGAAGGAGAAGAAGAAGAAGAAGAAGAAGCCUCAGUGAAGUGCUCCAGCAUCUUCACCCCCUUGGUCACUUGCUCAUCUCCUUGAUGAACAAAAGCGGCCCCAGAUCAGAGCCAUCGAGCACCUGCAGCCAGCAAGGUUGGCUGGUUUUCAUUGUGUGCAUUUUUAAGGCGUCUUCUAUUUAUAGAAAGGAUUGUGGUCUUGCAUUUGUAGCAGCGAUGAAAGCUUUACUUUUUGGCAAAAUGUGUGCAAGUUGUUUAGAAGUGAGUCUGUUUGAAAAAAAAAAUUAAAUGAAUAAUGAUUUAGGAGGUGAGUUUGUUUCCUAGGGCUGCUGUGAUGAAGUGCCA